AUGGCAUAGCUGGAAACUCGUGUUUUCCUCUAACUAUAAAUACAUUAGCCACUAUGUUAAAAUAUUUUUUUUUUUUCUGUCGUCAGUGAAAAUUCUGAUUAAAAAAGGAAGAUAGUAACAUGCAUAAGUUGUAUCCCUACAAGGGAUACAUCUGUCUGUGUUUGGGGUAGUCAUGGAGCUGAUUAAUAGUUGGAGCCUGGCAAUUAGAACUUUUUUGAGUCUGCUAGACGGAGCUGGAAAUAUACUUCGCUAAGAGGAGCAGUGAAAUCGACUCAAAGCUCCAACUCUUCCUGUCUGCCACCUCUGCACGCUCCUCCAGAUACUUUCUGCAUCCACACUACCACCUUCCAAUUCUGCCUCUGAAAGAGAGGCCUACAAAACAGGAAAUUGCCACUCCUAUUUCCAGGAUCUCACUUUGUCACCCCAGCUGGAGUGUAGCA